CGUUUACCCUCCUCAGUUGGAGCUCGUGUUCCAUUUGGCUUCAGGUACUUUACGUGUUUCUGUUUUCCUCUGGAGCAUAAAAGGGUAUAGGAGUGAAAUGAAAAACAGAUGCACUUUUCGAAAUAGACAUUUUCAGUUUUGCAGCCUUGUGAACUUUGUCAUUUUGCUGUGAAAGAAUCUUAUUGGAAUGACCUAGUCCUGCCUUCACUGACCCAAAGCAAGUUUCUGAAUUCUGUGGGGUUUAACCUAGCCUAGAUGGGCUGGGCUUCUAGCACUGUAUCUCACUUAAUAUGUCUUCAAAAGAGAUUAACUUGUAAGAGUUGCUUCAGAACAUUCUGGAACUCAACCUAUCAUCCAAAUGGUGCCAAGAGGGCAGUGAGCUCAUUAGGUAGCCAUUUGCCCUCCUGUUUUAGUGGUACCCAUUGCUCCAUUUGCUCAGACUGCAAAUAUUGAUUCUCUCCCGUAUGUGUGAGAUGCUGGGAACCCACAUAUAAAAGAAAUACAUCUAUUGUCGUCAAAGAGCUCAUCGUAUUCUAUUAGGUGAACCAGAUGGCGAAAAUCAUUGUACUCAGGAAGGUGUCAUGAGGGAGUAUUAUCCAGGAUUAGAAUUAGCCAGGCAGAGAACAGGGUAAGGAGUGUUUUAGGCAGAAAAAAUGGCAUAGGAGAGAGUGUAGCAUAUUGGGGACUUGGUGUGGCUUGAUGCCUCUUGAGCCUAGGCUGUGUGUGUCUUCACAUGGGCUGAAGAAGAGCCCAGAACCAGAGGGUAGGUAGGGCUGAGUUCAACCUCUGCAGAGACAGAAUUCAGUUGCAUGUAACCCCAGGGCACUUUUCUUGGGCUUUCUCCUGUUGGAGAUUUACAGGCUCUUUAGAGGACCAGUCACCUAGACUUGUAGGUACUCUGAGUGUUUUCUGAGAAUCUGGGCUGCCUUAGGUGGUUUAGAUGCUACUGAGGGAAUGACUACUUGGGCAUUAAGAGAACAGGAGGCCUUCUUAGCAGUCCUCCAGAGGAGUCAAUUGUAUAGAAACGGCACUGUGGAUUUUCAUGUCCAACGUUACAAUGUCCCUUAUCCUUGACAUUUUUCAUUUAGGUAAAAGAGCAGAGACAUCAAACCAAAGCACCUUCCUACUAUAACGGCUUUCAGACUCCACAUGAAAUAUCCAAUUUCAGGGUGUUUAAUGGGCAUCUCAAAUCUUAUAUCUGAAACCAAGAACUUAUUUCCUAUCUCCCCCGCCAAAAAAAAAAAAAAAUCCUCGCCUGUUCUUUGUGUUCACCCCCCCAGCUAAUAUUGGGGAAGGAACCUGGGAAUCAACUUUAUCACCUUUCUUCCUCUCACACUUCACAUCUGAUCCAUCUAUAAAACUGAUGGCUCUAUCUUCAAAAUCCCCAAUCCAGUCACCUAUCACCCCUUCGGUUGCACCCAGAGAGAAUCACCAUCCUGUUUCACUGUGAUUGUAAAAUAUGCUCCUGGUCUUUAUGAUUCUAUUCUUACCUGCAUUGGGCUGACCUCACCCCAUUGGCAAAAUGAUCCUUGAAGAAUCUACACCUGAUCUCAUUACAGCCUUGUUCAACAUAUUCUAAUGGCUUGCAGUCACUCUUAGACUUAACCCCAAAUUUAUAAUCUACAAGGGAUUGCAUGAUCUGGUGAUAAGUCUCCCUCGUCCUUGAUCAUAUCUCUGAUUACAUCUUCCAUCGGCCUCCCGACUCUAGCCAUACAGCCCUCCUGGGUACUUUAGGAUGACAGAAGUCCUC
rnacentral:lncRNA from 1 species